ensembl:lncRNA
GGCAGGUGAUGAUGAAUGUAUGGUAGAAGAUGUUCAAGCUGCAGAGAGCGAUGAGUUAAAUGAUGCUGUUGCUGAAGAACCUGCAGAAGAGACGGAGCUAGAAAGAGGGAAUUCUGUAUCAGGUGAGGAGGAGUUGACAGAGAACAUGACUGUCUAUGCAACAGAGAUAAUAGAAGAAGAAGCUACAGAUGAGAAGUGUGAAGGAACAGAGGUGACUGAUAAUGAAGAGAUUCCCUCCCCUGCAGCAAGUGACUCUGAAGAUGUGAGGUCCCAAAUCACAGCUAAAGAUCAACAGGAGGAUUCUGAAGCCAAAGAAGAAGAUGAAAGCACGGGAGGAGAACCCAGCCUCACAGGCACAAGUGACCAUGAAUGUGACAGAGAAAACAAUGUGGUGGAGGAAGCCAGUGAUGAGAAGAUAACUGCUGGCAGCUUAGAUGAACCUGCAGAGGAACAAGUAGCUGCUGAAGACGAUGAAUCAGAGGAGGAAGGAGCAGCUGGAGAGACAGAUGUAGCAGCUUUAUCAGAGCACGAGUUGGACAACGAUGAUGCUGAGGAAUCACGGGCAGAAGAUGAUGAGGAGAAGGAGGCAGCUGAUAUCUGCACAUCUGCAGAGGAAAAUGAAGAAAAGGCUGAUGUGGCAGCCUCAGAAGAACAAGAACCUGACAAAGAGAUGUCUAUGGAAGAAGAGAUGAUUGAUGAGAAGGAGGAUGCAAGUGAAGAAUAUGAAUCUAGAGAAAUUACAGCAGAAGAUGAUGCUGAAGAAGAAGCGACAGCUGUUGUUUUAUCGCAUGUAUCAGGCAAAGAUGAGCGUGAAGAAGCAGAAAGGGAUGUAGAGGAGGGACCAGCUGCUGCGAGUGAAGAUGAGCUGAAUGGUGAAGAUGCAGCAGAAGAGGCUGACAUGGAAUCAGCAAGAAAACAAGAACAGGAUGAUGAAAUAUCUGCAGAAGAGACAGUUAAUGGAGAAGAAGAACUUGAAUCUACAGAUGCAGAUGGUUCUGCAGAUGAGAAAGCUACAGUUGAUGAAUCAAAGGAACCAGCUGAAGAAGCAACAACUGACAAUGAGAAGGCUGCCAAAAAAGAUUCUUUCACAAGUGAAGAAGAACAGGCUGCUGAAGGUGAAGGUGCAGCAGAGGAGACAGCUGAAGCAGCUUCAUCUGAGCAGGAAUCAGCUGAAGACGAUGGUGAGGAAGCAGAAAGCGAUGAUGGUGAGGAGGGGACUGCUGCAGGUAGUGAUCAGGCUGCUGCUGCAGCAGAAGAUGCACCUGAUGAUGUUUCAUUGGCAGCAGAGGAGGAAAAAGAGGUGGAAGUGAAAAAUGAUACUGAUGCGCUGGAGGAUGCCUCAACAAAUGAAGAACCUCCUGCAGAGAAGACAGAAGAAUCUGAAGAAGAAGAAGCAUGUGAAGAUCUGACAGUUGUCAAAAAAGAUGACUGUUCCCACGAAGAUGAAGAGACUGCUGAAGAUGAAGGUGCAGCUGAGGCAGCUUCAUCUGAGCAAGAAUCAGGUGAAGAUGAUGAUGGUGAAGGAGAAAGAGUUGAUGAAGAUGAGGAGACUGCUG